ACGUAGGGUGCGAGCGUUAAUCGGAAUUACUGGGCGUAAAGCGUGCGCAGGCGGUUUCGUAAGACAGAUGUGAAAUCCCCGGGCUUAACCUGGGAACUGCAUUUGUGACUGCGAGACUAGAGUGUAGCAGAGGGGGGUAGAAUUCCACGUGUAGCAGUGAAAUGCGUAGAUAUGUGGAGGAAUACCGAUGGCGAAGGCAGCCCCCUGGGCUAACACUGACGCUCAUGCACGAAAGCGUGGGGAGCAAACAGGAUUAGAUACCCUGGUAGUCCACGCCCUAAACGAUGUCAACUAGGUGUUGGGGAAGGAGACUUCUUUAGUACCGCAGCUAACGCGAUAAGUUGACCGCCUGGGGAGUACGGUCGCAAGAUUA
rnacentral:rRNA from 1 species